GACGAACGCUGGCGGCGUGCUUAACACAUGCAAGUCGAACGGAAAGGCCCCUUUGGGGGUUCUCGAGUGGCGAACGGGUGAGUAACACGUGAGUAACCUGCCCUUGACUUCGGGAUAACUUCAGGAAACUGGGGCUAAUACCGGAUAGGAAUCCUUGCUUCAUGGUGGGGGUUGGAAAGCUUCGGCGGGUUUGGAUGGACUCGCGGCUUAUCAGCUUGUUGGUGUGGUAGUGGAUUACCAAGGCUGUGACGGGUAGCCGGCCUGAGAGGGCGACCGGCCACCUUGGGACUGAGAUGCGGCCCCGGCUCCUACGGGUGGCAGCAGUGGGGAAUAUUGCCCAAUGGGCGGCAGCCUGAUGCAGCAGCGCCGCGUGCGGGAUGACGGCCUUCGGGUUGUAAACCGCUUUCAGCAGGGGCGAAGCUUGUGGUGACGGUACCUGCAGAAGAAGCACCGGCUAACUACGUG
rnacentral:rRNA from 1 species